rnacentral:lncRNA from 1 species
GCGGAAAAAUCAAAUACAGAACAAAUAAUUCUGGGUACAAUUACAGAAACAAAACGAACCUCGAAUAAACGAGAACAUUAAAAGGUUACUUCGUUCUAAUACAUUGUUUUCUGCAAGUAACAGCAGUGUGAUGCCUCUUUCAAAGGUAUUGGACAACCAUAAAAAGGUUUAUCCAAACUCUAAACGAAGGACAGCAAUUUAUGGCAUACAUGCAAAGUGAGGCCACCAAAAGGGCGGGUUCUCUUCUUUAUUUCAAGCACUGUGCAUACCUUCCAUCCCACGAGUCGAAGACCUAAAUCUUCAGCUGUGUACAUCCGAGGACAGUUCCCAUGCACCGUGUCAUAGGAGCUGCCUGAUGCCAAACCGGUCUUUCAUUUCCAAGCGACAGAACAUCAACAUCAUUCGUCACCUUGAUAUCCCAAUACAUCCUGUCAGGCCCUACAACUCCUCCAAUUAUAUAAAUAUCAUCUCCCAGCCCUAUCAUCCCGAAACCAAUCUUGCGACGAAACUCAGAUGCUGAAACUACUAACUUGCUAAAUUCCCUCUCCUGCUUGUAAAUUUGGCCAUGACUCAUUACAUAUAGCUUCCCCUUAACGACUGCCAUUGGACCCUGAAGCCACCCAUAGUCAUGAACAGUCCAACCCAGCUUAAUACUGUCCAAAACUUGCACAGUUGACAAUCCCUUGUGCAAGACAUGAACCUUACCCCCAAUAACCACUCCUGUACAUGCAGAAUUGUGAGUGCGGUGAAGAUCGGGUAUUGAAACCCAGACAUCCUUGUCAGGAUCGUAGACUUCAGCUUUAGAGAUAGACUUCCUGCAGUUAGUAAAACCACCUGCCACGAUUAUUUUCCCAUCCAUCACACAGCAUGCGAACAUUGCACGAGGCACAAUCAUAGAUGCGCGUAGGGCCCACUGCCGAGAUACUGGGUCGUAUGACCAUACCGCAUCAGUAGCAAAACUUCCAUCCUGGUCACCGGUCAAAGGAUCCACAGCAUCACUUCCACCACCCAGCACAAAAAGCUUUCCGCCAACAAAGACAGCCCCAAAGUGGGCAAGGUGCCUGAUGUUUGAAGGAAGAACUGGGAGAGUAAUCCAAAGGUCACACGCAGGAUCAUAAAGCUGCCAUAGAUUGUCAGGGUCAUAUGAGCAAAGACAUAUAAAUUCCUCAGUUGAGUUCACCUCUUGACGGGCUUUAAAGAGUUCAGUGCUCCGAAUGGCAGCUCGCCAGGAACGCGAAACAAGUUCUAACUUUGGAUGAAGAUGGAAGGGAACCCGUGCAAGGCACCUGAGGGCGACAGCAUCAGGAAGGCCUUCAAUAAGUCCAGACAUAACCAUGCAAUACCUUGAAUAUAGAUUUUUUCUUUCUUAAGCGAUUGUGAUUUGUUGGUUGGUGAAAACAGCUUCCAAACGUACUAUCUAAAACACCACAUAAAUAAAUAAGUAAAAAUCAAUAUAUAAGAGAUGAUCUGUUCAUAUAAAAGUCUCUUCGACUAGAGCAUUUCAACAGCCUGAUUAGGGAAAAAAAAGUACCCUAAAGGCGAGAUAUGUCAGCAUUCUGAGAGCGUCAUCUUAUCCAGACAUCCAAAUUAGGAUCAGUUUUUGACUCUGAGCAAAUCGGAACAUAAAAGGUUUUAGCAUGCCAUGUCUGAUGGAAAUAAAAAAUCAGUUACUUCGCUAAACACAACAGCUCUAACAAUGCCAAUAAAAGCCUUAAUCAAGGUGUAACAUUAUGAAAUGUGAUUUAUGGUCACCAUAGAUACCUAUACCACUUAAUUCUCUAUCAUAAGGAGAUAACAUGCCUAACAUUUUACAACUUACAAUCAAGAAUGAUUGGUAAAUGCACUCUACAUCGAGAGAAAUUAACUGUGCAAAGCCUAUCAAGGCACUAAUGUCCUUCACCCCCAUGCUUCAUAAAGGCACUCGUUAUAUUCUAAGCGAAAGAUCUUGGCAUGUGCAUAAUAUAUUCUGCAGAAUUCAGAAAUUGAAGAAAUUAUAAAUUUUUGACAAUGCAAGUUCAUAUUUCAUCACUAUUUUGAGUCGUGGAGUAGCUUUCAGUUGGCCACGUGGAAGGACCAAUUUUCGAGGUCAACAGAUUAAAUUUAAGAAAAAAAUAUGAACGACACAACGUGAUUAAACCAUUUCAUCCUAUUGGAAGGAAAGAAGAUGAAUUGUCUAGAACAAGAUGAAAAAUGUAGUAAUAUUAACAAUACUAUCCAGACAGUCAUUUCUAAAGAACCCAAAACCAACUAAACUUGAUAUUCAAACAUGCAAUAAAACCAUCAAUGAAAUCUUAUGACCUUAUACGAUUUUGAGCACCGUGCACAAGAGAAUAUAAUAGCCAUCCAUGAGUUCCAUAAAGAAAGCUCAAAAGCGGAAAAAUCAAAUACAGAACAAAUAAUUCUGGGUACAAUUACAGAAACAAAACGAACCUCGAAUAAACGAGAACAUUAAAAGGUUACUUCGUUCUAAUACAUUGUUUUCUGCAAGUAACAGCAGUGUGAUGCCUCUUUCAAAGGUAUUGGACAACCAUAAAAAGGUUUAUCCAAACUCUAAACGAAGGACAGCAAUUUAUGGCAUACAUGCAAAGUGAGGCCACCAAAAGGGCGGGUUCUCUUCUUUAUUUCAAGCACUGUGCAUACCUUCCAUCCCACGAGUCGAAG